AAACUGGAUUCAGAGAGCAGAUGGCUGGGCGGGUUUUUCCGCGGCUGCAUUAAUAACUGUUGGCAAGAGAGCUGAAACCUUGCUCAGCCCCGGCACUGCGCGAAGGCGGAGGGAAGCACACGCUGUCUGCGACAUGCAACCAGAAUAACCUUCCCUGUGGGGAAACUCCCAUCAGCUCGGCUGAAGAAUUAAAAGGAAGAAAGGAGCGCUUAGGAGACUGCUAUUCUCUUUGGCAUCUAGAGGUCACUUUGAAAGCCAGGAAGGGAGUUUGCAAGGCUGGUCCCCGGCUGGCGUUACUCAAGGGUGGAAACCUUCAUUGCUGGCAACAGCUGACAAGGUCGCCGAGGUGGAUUUAGCAGCAUCUCAGGGUCACUUCUGUCUGACGGAAGAAAUGGAAAUCGGCUGGGGAAGGAAGGGGGAGAGAGUUGCUUCUAUCCGCCAAAGACAGAAGCUGCUUACAUGCAAGGCCUGCUUUUCUUCCAACCAUGCCAGACGAGUUUGCAUGCGCAGAAUUUCCACGUGGCUUAUAAGGAGGCAAAUAGGGAUGCCUGAGGAUCUCGGGUUCCAUUUUGCAAAAAAAGAAAACAGAGCAAGUUUCUAGAACUCUUUGAGGCUGCGCUAUUCCCUUUCAGCUCUUCUGAGCAGGCAUUUGGUUGGCGGGGUUUAACUGGAGUUAGAGCAUAGCAUCUUAAAAAGCAGAGACAUCACCUUGCCAACAAAGGUCCGUAUAGUUAAAGCUAUGGUUUUCCCAGUAGUGAUGUAUGGAAGUGAGAGCUGGACCAUAAAGAAAGCUGAUCGCCGAAGAAUUGAUGCUUUUGAAUUAUGGUGCUGGAGGAGACUCUUGAGAGUCCCAUGGACUGCAAGAAGCUCAAACCUAUCCAUUCUGAAGGAAAUCAGCCCGGAGUGCUCACUGGAAGGACAGAUCGUGAAGCUGAGGCUCCAGUACUUUGGCCACCUCCUGAGAAGAGAAGACUCCCUUGGGAAAGAUGGAGGGCACAAGGAGAAGGGGACGACAAAGGACGAGAUGGUUGGACAGUGUUCUCAAAGCUACUAACAUGAGUUUGACCAAGCUGCGGGAGGCAGUGGAAGACAGAAGUGCCUGGCGUGCUCUGGUCCAUGGGGUCACAAAGAGUCAGACAUGACUAAACAACUAAACAACAACAACAAGAAGAGCAUAGCACAAGCUGCUGCUGUUAUCCCUUGGCUUUUUUACAGCAAAGGGGUUGCGCUUGCAAAAUGUGUAAAGAAAAAAAAUUAAAAACUAUGUGCUUCAUCGCUGUGAGUGCAAGGGCAAGCUACAUGUUAUGUGGGAUAUUGUUGAUUAGGACUCCUGGUGCUUUUAAGAACAAAAGCUGAAAUGCAGUCAGGGGCUCUGUAUGUUUGCUUGAUGUUUAACUCUCACUUCCCACACUGUUUUUCCAUCAGAAGCACUCCCUGAAGGCCAGUUUGUUGAGUAUUUUCCUCCUUGUAGCUGGGGAGAGAGUCAGCUAAAGAAAAGGGGAGGGGAGGGAUAAACACCCCUCCCCUAGUGUGGCCCUAGGAAGCCUUGGUUUGCAUGGCUGCAGUGCUCAGGUACUUGGUUAUAAAAUAAAGAGAUUAGCAAAUGUGCUAGAAGUUCCUGUUCAGAAAGUCAGGCUCACUUCUGUCCCCUAAACAUAGCCUUCUAGUCACAUGACGCACUGCACCAGCCUUCAGCAACCUAGUGCCCUCAGUGCUGUUGGACUACAACUCCCAACAGUCCAUGACAGCACGCAGGUUGGCAAAGGGUGCUCUACAUACAUGGGCACAUGCCUGCACAUGUGCGCACAACUUUCAUUGACCAAUGUCUUUUUUUUUAACCUGCUCCCUUUCCAUUUCCCACAUCACCCACCCAAAUUUAGCAAUUCUGCACCUUUCAGAAAGAUUGCAUUCAGAGCCAAACGUGCAAAUCAAGGAGGUCCAUGCCUGAAAUUUCAAAUCUGCCUCUCCCCAGAAAUUCCUUAGCAACUCUCAUUGCCAAAUCCAAUCUCUCCAUGGCAAACUGGCUUUCAAAGCCCGGGCAGGAUAAUGUGUUGUUACACAUUGCAGACCGGGCUCCCCUUGCCCAUGGGCAAACAACCAGGCUGUGCCAGGACUCCCUUUCUUACAUUACUAUAAGGACAACCAACAUUGGUAAAAUGUACCAUGUAAAAUGAUGUACUGCUGUUCUCAAGAGCUACAGCAUCCCUAAUGGAGGCUGAGAGUAACCAACAGGUUAUCAUACUUCUCUACUGCUCAGGCUUGCCCCAUCUCUGGCACACCAGUUGUGGUUGGACUACAACUCUCUUAAUGCCCAACUAGUGUCCAUGCUGGUUGGGGCUUUGGGGAGCUGUUGUUUGGCGGUGACUGAUAUAGCUGUUCCACGUUUGCUAGAUGAAACUGUUAUUUAGGACCUCUGUAUACAGCUGAGACUAGGGACGCGGGUGGCGCUGUGGUCUAAACCACAGAGCCUAGGACUUGCCAAUCAGAAGGUUGGCGGUUCAAAUCCCCGUGAAGGGGUGAGCUCCCGUUGCUUGGUCCCUGCUCCUGCCAACCUAGCAGUUUGAAAGCACGUCAAAGUGCAAGUAGAUAAAUAGGUACCGCUUCAGCGGGAAGGUGAACGGCGUUUCCAUGCGUUGCUCUGGUUCACCAGAAGUGGCUUCAUCAUGUUGGCCACAUGACCCAGAAGCUGUACACCGGCUCCCUCGGCCAAUAAAGCGAGAGGAGCGCCACAACCCCAGAGUUGGCCACGACUGGACCUAAUGGUCAGGGGUCCCUUUACCUUUUUAUACAGCUGAGAACUGACUGAACUUCUGUUUUGGUGACAAAAUGCCCCACUGAAUGCAAAAGCUUGUACUGUUGCCCCCCGAAGUUUGGUUUUGAGAGCCUCAGGCUGAAGUUUGGAAUGAAGCCAGUCGAUUUUCCAACCAGCACACUCACUGGUAAAGGUAAUCCAAUCCAAAAUUAUCACUACCCUCCUUGGUGCAGAAAUGCGAAUACAAUUGCAGGCAUCUGAAAUUAGGGCAGGACUCAAAUGUCCAAGGUUUUAGCAAAGACACCCUGUGCAUUUCCAUUACAGAGAAGCUUGGUUCAAUUUUCUCUUAUAAAGUUCCUCCUUUCCUCCCCAUCUCAGAUCGCAGCUGUUUUCAGGCUGAAAUCUAGCACACUCACUCACUAAGAGAGGAGGAGUAACUCUGGGAUCCCAGACAAGCAGUGCUCUAAUAUUUAAAAAAAAAAAAAAUGCCUCCCCCUCCUUCCUCUCCCCUCAAGAGUUAACCCCAUGUGGUUCAAAGAAAGAUCCACAAAAUGAGAUGAACCAGAAUCGAGAGUGGCAAUUGCUAACAAAACCAGGGUAGUAAAUCCACUCUGAAUUAUUUCCUCCUUUGCACAUUUAUUCCCAGUGUCUUGUAAACCUUCGGUGAAUGAGCUACCCGCUGUCUUCAGUUCCACGACUUACGGUACUUUCUUCUAUGGUUCGCAGGACAAACAUUUUCUUCGUCUGCUCCCAUUCCAGGUUGUCAUUGUUUUGCAGCUUCCAAUCCUAUGUCCACUUACAUCACCGGUGCAUUCAAAAUUGUCAUUUUAUCUAUUGGUAUUUUAGGUAUUCCACUGUCCUCUAGAUAUUUUUGCAUUUCAUCUAAAUUACCCUGUUUCGCUUGCUAUAAUUCUGUAUAAAAACUCACGAAUUGAUCUCUUAUUUCUUUAGGACAACUCUAGGGCACAGGACAACUCUAACUCCUAUGUUAAUUUUGUUUCUACAGGAUUUCUCUUGCCUUUUUUUUUAAUUUGCCGUGCUAAUAAUUUCCCUGGUUUGAGCAGGCUAAUGCCUGCUCAAAUUGUUUCUGUUUUAAAUGUUUAAUUUUCCACUCUACUUGAUUUAUUAUCAUUGAAAACUGUGUUUGCAAUUAUUUUAAUAUCCUGUUUUAAUCUCUCUUUUUGAGGGGAAUUUAUCAAUUCUUUUUCUUUCCUUUUUCUUUCUUGUAGAAUUGUUUGCUUUUUCAACUCUUUUCUUUUUUUGGUAUGCACUUUGCUGAAUAAAAAGGUCCCGCAUCACUGCUUUGCUUG